GUGCCAGCAGCCGCGGUAAUACGUAGAGUGGCAAGCGUUGUCCGGAAUUAUUGGGCGUAAAGCGCGCGCAGGUGGUUUCUUAAGUCUGAUGUGAAAGCCCACGGCUCAACCGUGGAGGGUCAUUGGAAACUGGGGAACUUGAGUGCAGAAGAGGAAAGUGGAAUUCCAAGUGUAGCGGUGAAAUGCGUAGAUAUUUGGAGGAACACCAGUGGCGAAGGCGACUUUCCUGGUCUGUAACUGACACUGAGGCGCGAAAGCGUGGGGAGCAAACAGGAUUAGAUACCCUGGUAGUCC
rnacentral:rRNA from 1 species